CAUAGCCGGCUGACACAAGUGUCCUGGCACGAGAUAAAGAACAACUGCAAUUUGACUUGUUGGACCAUCGGAAGCGCUAAUUAGUGUCUCUAUAUCAGCA
rnacentral:lncRNA from 1 species